UUAAAGAAAAGAAAAAUAGGGCAUUUUCUAAACAUAGCACUAAUUCUUUGAGCAGUUCAGAACAGCCAGGGCUAGGCAGUAGCCCAGGGUCUCAAGUGUGAGAGAAAUGUAUUCUGCCCUCCUAAGAUAAUCAAGGUCAAGGCAACCUUCUGCAGCUAUGUACAACUUUUCCUUCUCCUGCUCUGUUACUCUGUCCUGUUCAGAGUGCACUUCUGGGUUGCAGGGACACAAUGACUGUCAUGUAAUGUGAGGAUUUACCUCAGCCAGUGGACUAACAUGAGAAACCUGUUCUUAGAGCAUGGCUCCCAGAUAGGCAACAACACAGGCAAGACACACACACCAUGUUUUAUUUGUGUGAAUGAAAUCACACAAUCAAAAUUCAGUGUUUUGGAAAGUUAGGUGAUUUUCCCCCUGUCUCAUGUAACACACGUGGCUUACUAUGCAUUCCUCAAGUCUUCAAGUCUCCUUGAUGAUAAAGGGCUGCUUGACGCAACUAUCAAACUGACAUAACACCUAGCAGACGGACUUAAUUUUAAAGAAACCAAUCAACCCACCCCUACUACCCACCUGGGGCCACAAAACACUUUUGAAUGAGGGAGAAUAAUGUCAAAUAUAUCAAAUACUGACUGGGAACAGCAACUUUAAAAAAAAGGAUUGGAAUACUUGGACUGGAUUGUUUUCAAAAAAGGAGUUGAAAUUUAUUCUGCAAGCACUGUGCUCAACUAGGUGUGUUCUGUGUGCCCCUAGAUUUGCUGAUGACAUCCUCCUUUAGGAAGACAGAUGAAUGUGAAAUGCCUCACUCAUCAAAAUUACAGAGAAAUAGAAUAUUUUUGCCUGUUUUUCUUUUUGCCACCAAAGACCCCUUUUACCUGCUCAUUUUAAAAUUUUAUCUAAUCAAUAAUUUGCUUCAUCUACUUUAAGCUCAAUUUUCUUUCAAAAUUGUCUCAUAUGUUAAUACCCAGAAGAAAUAUGAGUAAUUUCAUUAAGUUCAUAGUUUUACUUCUUGCGAUGCCAUAGGAGUAAAAAAUAAAAAUAAUUUUUAAAACAGUUUUACUUCAGCUGGGCUCUAAAUAAAAUCCCAACUAUCCCCAGCUGCUCCUUCAAACCUUUAUUAUUGACAAGACACCUAACUCUACGCCUAACCAUGUCCACCCAUCUUCCUUCCCUGAUCCUCAAAACAUGGAUUUGAUUUUUUUUUUAAUGGGUCAUCUCAAGUGAAUUUGAUUUUCCCCUCACCCAACCAGACACCAAAUCUGUCCUCUUUCAUUUUCUCCCAAGUUGAAGAAGGUCCCUGAAGAAAAUCUUUCCAUAACUGUUAGUACGCAUUUCAGCAUAUCUAAUAACUUAAUCAACUUUCAUUCUGCUCUCCUCUAUCUUCAACCUAUCCCUCAACUGGCUAUCCACUCAAAUUUUUCUUUAAUCUCCAUCUACAGCCCUCUUUGUACUCACAGACGAGUAAUCUACUUUUAUUCUCUAACUUUAUAGAACAGUAAAAUUAAGCAAGUAAAAAGAAUAACCAAUAAAGGGUUGCCAUUUUUUUUAAGUAAAGACAUAAAUGUAACAGACUAUCC
rnacentral:lncRNA from 10 species